rnacentral:rRNA from 1 species
AGAGUUUGAUCCUGGCUCAGAUUGAACGCUGGCGGCAUGCCUUACACAUGCAAGUCGAACGGUAACGCGGGGGCAACCCUGGCGACGAGUGGCGAACGGGUGAGUAAUACAUCGGAACAUAUCCAGUAGCGGGGGAUAACCUAUCGAAAGAUGGACUAAUACCGCAUACGAUCUACGGAUGAAAGCAGGGGACCGCAAGGCCUUGCACUAUUGGAGUGGCCGAUGUCGGAUUAGCUAGUUGGUGGGGUAAAAGCCUACCAAGGCGACGAUCCGUAGCUGGUCUGAGAGGACGAUCAGCCACACUGGAACUGAGACACGGUCCAGACUCCUACGGGAGGCAGCAGUGGGGAAUUUUGGACAAUGGGCGCAAGCCUGAUCCAGCCAUGCCGCGUGAGUGAAGAAGGCCUUCGGGUUGUAAAGCUCUUUCGGUGAAGACGAAACGGUUCAUGCUAAUAACGUGAACUAAUGACGGUACUCACAGAAGAAGCACCGGCUAACUACGUGCCAGCAGCCGCGGUAAUACGUAGGGUGCAGGCGUUAAUCGGAAUUACUGGGCGUAAAGCGUGCGCAGGCGGUUUGCUAAGACAGGUGUGAAAUCCCCGGGCUUAACCUGGGAAUUGCGCUUGUAACUGGCAAGCUAGAGUGUGGCAGAGGGGGGUGGAAUUCCACGUGUAGCAGUGAAAUGCGUAGAUAUGUGGAGGAACACCGAUGGCGAAGGCAGCCCCCUGGGUUAACACUGACGCUCAUGCACGAAAGCGUGGGGAGCAAACAGGAUUAGAUACCCUGGUAAUCCACGCCCUAAACUAUGUCAACUAGUUGUCGGGGAAGAAAUUCCUUGGUAACGAAGCUAACGCGUGAAGUUGACCGCCUGGGGAGUACGGCCGCAAGGUUAAAACUCAAAGGAAUUGACGGGGACCCGCACAAGCGGUGGAUUAUGUGGAUUAAUUCGAUGCAACGCGAAAAACCUUACCUACCCUUGACAUGCUAGGAAGCCCGCAGAGAUGUGGGUGUGCCCGAAAGGGAACCUAGACACAGGUGCUGCAUGGCUGUCGUCAGCUCGUGUCGUGAGAUGUUGGGUUAAGUCCCGCAACGAGCGCAACCCUUGCCAUUAGUUGCUACAUUCAGUUGGGCACUCUAAUGGGACCGCCGGUGACAAACCGGAGGAAGGUGGGGAUGACGUCAAGUCCUCAUGGCCCUUAUGGGUAGGGCUUCACACGUAAUACAAUGGUCGGUACAGAGGGCUGCCAACCCGCAAGGGGGAGCUAAUCCCAGAAAGCCGAUCGUAGUCCGGAUUGUAGUCUGCAACUCGACUGCAUGAAGCCGGAAUCGCUAGUAAUCGCGGAUCAGCAUGUCGCGGUGAAUACGUUCCCGGGUCUUGUACACACCGCCCGUCACACCAUGGAGUGGGUUCCACCAGAAGUAGUUAGCCUAACCGCAAGGAGGGCGAUUACCACGGUGAGAUUCAUGACUGGGGUGAAGUCGUAACAAGGUA